rnacentral:rRNA from 1 species
AUGAACGCUGGCGGCGUGCCUAAUACAUGCAAGUCGAGCGAACGGACGAGAAGCUUGCUUCUCUGAUGUUAGCGGCGGACGGGUGAGUAACACGUGGAUAACCUACCUAUAAGACUGGGAUAACUUCGGGAAACCGGAGCUAAUACCGGAUGAUAUUUUGAACCGCAUGGUUCAAAAGUGAAAGACGGUCUUGCUGUCACUUAUAGAUGGAUCCGCGCUGCAUUAGCUAGUUGGUAAGGUAACGGCUUACCAAGGCAACGAUGCAUAGCCGACCUGAGAGGGUGAUCGGCCACACUGGACCUGAGACACGGUCCAGACUCCUACGGGAGGCAGCAGUAGGGAAUCUUCCGCAAUGGGCGAAAGCCUGACGGAGCAGCGCCGCGUGAGUGAUGAAGGUCUUCGGCUCGUAAAACUCUGUUAUUAGGGAAGAACAUAUGUGUAAGUAACUGUGCGCAUCUUGACGGUACCUAAUCAGAAAGCCACGGCUAACUACGU